UGCAUACAAGAAGGUUUAGACAUCUGUCUGC
rnacentral:piRNA from 1 species